AUGUCUUACUGAUUUAUAACCCUAAAAUUGGAACAAUACAGAGAUGAUUAUCAUGGCCCCAGCACAAGGAUGGCAUGCAAAUUCAUGAAGCAUUUCAUAUUUAA
ensembl:snRNA U6 U6 spliceosomal RNA